rnacentral:rRNA from 1 species
AGCGAACGCUGGCGGCAGGCCUAACACAUGCAAGUCGAACGAAGUCUUCGGACUUAGUGGCGGACGGGUGAGUAACACGUGGGAACGUGCCCUUAGGUUCGGAAUAACUCAGGGAAACUUGUGCUAAUACCGAAUGUGCCCUUCGGGGGAAAGAUUUAUCGCCUUUAGAGCGGCCCGCGUCUGAUUAGCUAGUUGGUGAGGUAAAGGCUCACCAAGGCUACGAUCAGUAGCUGGUCUGAGAGGAUGACCAGCCACACUGGGACUGAGACACGGCCCAGACUCCUACGGGAGGCAGCAGUGGGGAAUCUUGCGCAAUGGGCGAAAGCCUGACGCAGCCAUGCCGCGUGAAUGAUGAAGGUCUUAGGAUUGUAAAAUUCUUUCACCGGGGACGAUAAUGACGGUACCCGGAGAAGAAGCCCCGGCUAACUUCGUGCCAGCCGCCGCAGUAAGAC